ACCAGGGUGGCCGAGUGGUUAAGGCGUUGGACUUAAGAUCCAAUGGACUCUAGUCCUCGUGGGUUCGAACCCCACUCCUGGUA